rnacentral:rRNA from 1 species
UACGUAGGGGGCAAGCGUUGUCCGGAAUCAUUGGGCGUAAAGCGCGUGUAGGCGGCUUGGUAAGUCCGCUCUGAAAGCCCGGGGCUCAACCCCGGGAGGCGGGUGGAUACUGUCAAGCUCGAGUCCGGAAGAGGCGAGUGGAAUUCCUGGUGUAGCGGUGAAAUGCGUAGAUAUCAGGAGGAAUACCGGUGGUGUAGACGGCUCUCUGGACCGCCACUGACGCUGAGACACGAAAGCGUGGGUAGCAAACAGG